CCUACGGGAGGCAGCAGUGAGGAAUAUUGGUCAAUGGGCGCGAGUCUGAACCAGCCAAGUAGCGUGAAGGAUGACUGCCCUACGGGUUGUAAACUUCUUUUAUAAAGGAAUAAAGUGAGGCACGUGUGCCUUUUGUAUGUACUUUAUGAAUAAGGAUCGGCUAACUCCGUGCCAGCAGCCGCGGUAAUACGGAGGAUCCGAGCGUUAUCCGGAUUUAUUGGGUUUAAAGGGAGCGUAGAUGGGUUGUUAAGUCAGUUGUGAAAGUUUGCGGCUCAACCGUAAAAUUGCAAUUGAUACUGGCAGCCUUGAGUACAGUUGAGGUAGGCGGAAUUCGUGGUGUAGCGGUGAAAUGCUUAGAUAUCACGAAGAACUCCGAUUGCGAAGGCAGCCUACUAAACUGCCACUGACAUUGAUGCUCGAAAGUGUGGGUAUCAAACAGGAUUAGAUACCCGAGUAGUC
rnacentral:rRNA from 1 species